UGAGAUUUUCCAUAAAAUUUGGCUUUUCUUAGCCCAUCUGACUGAGGAAGAUCAAUCCAAAACUGAACAAACUCCUCUUGUUCAUGUGGGUAUCAUCCUACACUGAGAAUAGAAGCUGCAAAAUCUGUUACUCUGGAAAAGAUUAAUCUCUUCCAUACAUUGUAGAUUUUCUAGACCAAUUUAAAAGGCACUCUGUUUCCCCUUGGCUUGCAGAGAGAUUUUGGGGGGAGAGCAGCUGAAUUCUAUACAAUAACAUUUGCAUAUGAUUUCCAGUUAUUUGUAGGAUGUCAAGGUAGUGCAGGAGGUGUUGAAAUGUUCCUCCCCGCUGUGCUCUGAAAGGCUCCUGGUUGCUGUUCUGUGGGAUGGAAACUGGCUCUGACAUGCAGGCACUUGACAGGUGCCGCGUUCCCUUCCACACCGCCAGGGCCGGAUUUCCAAUGAGGCAUAGCAGGCAUGUGCCUAGGGGCGCUGGCAUCCUAGGAGCACCUUACCUGUCAAACGCAUAACUAACCUCUGGAACUCACUGCUGCAGGAUAUUAUUGAGAUCCCCGUCACCACAUUCUGCCUAGUGUCUGGGCCUUGGCAAGUUGAGAAGUACGAGCUCAUGUGAUGGUGGACAGGAGGAGAAUGGCUGUGAUGGCAGAAGGGGAAGGAGAAGGGUCUGGUUGCUGUCACCACUCAAUACCGCUCUAGCAGAUAAUGAUUGUAAUUGCCUGGUACCAGCCAUGCUGAAGCAGAAAGGAAGCAGGGGGUAAUUUACUUGCACAGAGCUGCAGAUUCACAGAAUCAUUUCCAUUUACUUGGCAUCCUCCUUUAAAUCUCCUCCGUGGGGAUGAGGCAGUAGCGCGGCCAUGCUCAUGGCUCAUUCCCUGUGUCUGGCUCCUUCCGCUCGUGGUGCGACAAGGGAGGGAGGGUAAAAGCUCCCUUUCACACCUCUAAUUCCUUUUAACGUAAAGGCUUUUCAGACAUGUUCCGGGCAGUGCCUGGGAGGCUCCAUCACUAUUCCCCAACCCGCCAUGUCUCACUCAUUGGAAACAGGAAUGGGUGCACCUCUUUUCUUGGGGGAAUGGACCCCAUGAGGUUUUGAUUUGUUGCUGCUGGUUCUUGCAGUCCUAUUGAGGGGUGGGAGUAAAUGUGUUCACAUGCUUCAGGAAGACACUCAGGCUCUCAGCAUGUGGAGCAGAGACACCAGCUUGCUCCAGAGAGUCUGUAGUGGCAGGAUGAAGUUAAUGAAGUCAGGAAAGGUUAUGUUACGUAGCACCUGCUGGAACACUCUGCACGUUCCCACUAUUGGGUGCAGCUGGGCUGGUGGGAACCUCUAGCAACAGUAGUGCCUGAAGCAGCACUGUUGUGGCUUUUAAUUGUCCAGGAACAGGGCUAUGAAUGGGAGCACCGUGCUCCAAUCACUUCUGCUCCUUUCACUGCAUGCCUGGAGCCCAGCAGAUGGUAACAGGACUCUGAGGUGUGGGGAGGCUGAGCAGGGAGCAUGGAUCUGUAGAGGCUUCUUUCGAAGAAACUCAAAUUUCUGGUGAGUAUUCUCCAUUUCUUCUUCCAAUGGCCUCCGUACACAGCCACUUGUGGGAGCUUAGCAGGCAAUGCAUCCUCCCCAGGAUGGCAGGAGAAGGAGGACUAAUGAGAGACUGUAGUACCACUCUGCCACACUGCGCAUGUGAUCUAGAUACAGUGUCUACUGAGUGGUGUCUGGUAACUGUGUGGAUUGAGCUCCAAGGAGCACCCUACAGAUCUAUUGGGAUAAGUCUCAAAAAAGUCAGAGUUUGCCUUAUCC